rnacentral:rRNA from 1 species
CCCUUAGAUGUCCUGGGCCGCACGCGCGCUACACUGAGUGUCUGAGAUACGAGUCUGCCUGGUCCGGCAAGGUCUAGGUAAUCGCUAAAAGACACAUCAUGCUUGGGAUAGAUUAUUGCAAAUAUUAAUCUUGAACGAGGAAUUCCUAGUAAGCGCAAGUCAACAGCUUGCGUUGAUUACGUCCCUGCCCUUUGUACACACCGCCCGUCGCUACUACUGAUUGGAUGUUUAAGCGAGGUUCUCGAACUGCUAGCGACGUAGCUUCGGUGAGGUCGCAGUGUGGGAAGUGAACCUAGCUUUGGUGUCUAGAGGAAGUAAAAGUCGUAACA